UCUCUCUAGCCAUUUGUCUUCUUCAUUCUUAAUUCUUCAUUCUUCUUUUCUCUCUCUCUCUCUCUCUCUCUAAGCAUGAAUUUGACACUCAUCUCUGGCUCAUCUCUGGAAUUAUCCCAUAAACCCUCUCUAAACAUGAAUUUGACACUUAUCUCUGGAAUAAUCCCAUAAACCCCAGAAAAGCAAACCCAUUCAAAUACAAUUUUCCACAACAAAAACCAGAGAAAAACAAGGAAAAAAAAGCCACUUUCUUUCUCAUUUUCUCUUUCGAUUGUCAUGCAUAGGUCUGGAGCUGUGAUGGCUUGGAAUGUCUUCAAGUUCUGUACCGCCCUUCGAGGCCUUGGCUCGAUCAUGAUCUUGUUGGUCCUUGGCGUUGUGGGUGUUACCUAUUAUGCUGUUGUUGUAUCCAAUUAUGGCCCUGCUUUGUACGAUGGUGGUCUCGCUUCUCUCACUGCACUCGCUGUCUUGAUCUUGUUUCAUGUUCUUUUAGUAAUGCUAUUGUGGAGUUACUUUGCUGUUGUCUUUACCGAUCCGGGUAGUGUGCCACCUAAUUGGAGGCCUGUGUCGGAUGAGGAGAGAGGUGAGACCGAUCCAUUGACUGAGGCAGAAUUUGGUGGUAUGUCAGCAGACCCAGUGAAUCCAAGGAUCCGUUAUUGUCGGAAGUGCAACCUGCCGAAACCACCUCGGUGCCAUCAUUGUUCUGUUUGUGGGAGGUGUGUGCUGAAAAUGGACCAUCAUUGUGUGUGGGUUGUCAAUUGUGUGGGGGCAUUGAACUACAAGUAUUUUCUUCUUUUCCUGUUCUACACAUUUCUGGAAACAAGUGUUGUGACUUUAUUAUUACUGCCUCAUUUUUUAGCAUUCUUUAGUGAUGGAGAGAUACCUGGGACCCCAGGCACGCUGGCAACCACUUUUCUUGCCUUUGUGCUGAACCUGGCAUUUGCAUUGAGCGUGCUGGGUUUUCUGAUUAUGCACAUAUCAUUGGUGGCUGGUAAUACGACUACCAUUGAGGCAUAUGAAAAGAAGACAACUCCAAAAUGGCGCUAUGACCUUGGUCGAAAGAGGAAUUUUGAACAGUUGGGGGAUCGUAGUAGAGAAGUUGCAGAAUCAAAAGAAGCAGGCUCUGGAUAAAGAUUUUGGACAAUCUUUCAAGCUCUAGAUAUUUUGGUCUUCCUUUUUCACAAUAAUGGCAAAUAGAGGACCAUAUGAAGGAUAUAGAUCCUUGCCAGCUUAUUCAAUAUGAGAUCAGGAUAUCAUUGUAAUCCACUAUUUGAAUUUAAAAUUAAUCGCCUUGAUCCCAUUUGUCUAUUCAUUCUCGUGACCUCCAUUUCUUUCUGAGUAUGGAAAUUACAUUCGUAGGCAUUGCAAAUCUUGUUUCCAGAUUCUCUGCAUCCUUUUGAGCUUUGUGGGCGUCACCUAGAAAAUCUAUCCUCUAACUUUACUCUUUUGGGUAUGGAAAUUACAAUCUGGAAUGCUUCUGCCCUCGUGUAAUGUAUACCAAUUUUGAACAGGCGUCAAGUGAUUUAUUGCAACUACAAGGUGCUAAACGGAUGAGAUGAAGGCUAAAAGAAGUAAUGCAUUGUUAUUUAUAAAAAAAGAAAAGAAAAAGAAAGAAGUAAUGCAUUGAUAUUAUAAAGAACCUGAUUGCCUUGGAUUUAACUUAAGAAUAAGGCUUAACUUUCGGUAGGCUUGGCGUAGUGUAGGUUUGGAUAUUAUGGGAUCAAAUUACGCUUUGUUUGUUUGGGUUGAAAACAUUCUGCAUUGUCUAGUGUUUGGUACGAUGGAAAACAAAACUCAAUCGACAAUGUUGUGUUCAAAACAAGCUUAUUUGGGUGCCGGACUAAGGCGUUACCAAUGCCACCUCAUUACCACUGCCACCACCUUGCCAUCACCACCUCACCACCAUCACUGCCUCCACCUCUACCUCCGCCUCCGCCACUGCCACUGCUACCGCCACCACCUCCACCUCACCACCACCUAUACCAAAUUAACGUUGAACAAUCCAUAUGGAAUGUCUGCAUUCUCUUAUUGUUAUUAUUAUUGUUAUUAUUUUUUCAUUUGUUAAAUUUUUUAAUGCAUUUAUAAGCCACACAUGUCAAAUAUGCAUUCACAACACUUUCCCCCAGAGUUUGUGUCUACCACUGCCAUGUUGACCACCACCACGUCCACUAACACCACAACUAGCAUAUAAGUUUCAAAGUCCCAACCAAACAUAGAAGAACUUUUUCUCCUGGAAAAUGUGUUUUGCUUAAACAAAUGGAGCAUUAGUUGAGAACGAUUCUUACAAACCUUGGGAAGCAUAUUCCUUGUAUCACCUUGUGAUAUAUCAUCAUCUAACAGUUUUCAUUGUCUGAAUGUGACCUAUUAAAUUAAAAUCAGUGAUUUGUGUUGGGCAAUGCUUACAGUUUUCUGAAUCACUAUAUGUUUUACAUGGUCUAUUCUAAUCCAUUGUGUGUGCAAUGAGUUUGUGCCAAAGCUAAUUUCAGAUUAGCAUACUGUUGAAAUGUAAGGACUGAAGCUAGAGUGGUUAUCAGCAGUUUGUCUGUUUUUGGAAUGGACAGGCAAUAUUGGUUAAUCCCGUCUUAUUCGGAAGAAGACUUGCGACGGAUGCCUGCACUUCAGGGUCUUGAGUAUCCAUCAAAGCCUGACUUGGAUGCUCAAGAGUUCUAAAGGAUCAUUCACAUAACAUCUAAAAACUCCCAUUUUGUUUGUUGUAGCAGUAAUUUCACGCCCAGAUAAAGCGAUCUUUACACUUAAAUUGAUCGACAGAAUGUAACUGACACGGACUUGAAUCAAUCUAUCACACUGGAACUUGCAGAAAUAACAGCUCAUUAGAUGGAGAGAUCAAUGUACCCAAUGGAGCCGCUCAGGCAUAAUGAUAUCGGGAGGCUGGGAGCGGUGGCGUUUGCUGAUGCACAAAAAUUUCAUGCUGAGGUAGGAGGUUUAAUGUAUUUCAUUAGAAAUGUAAAAUUAAUGCAAACUUGGCCACGCUGUGUCUAUGGUUGUGAUAUCAUCUUUGAAAAUCAAUUUAAUACAAGCAAAAUGUUACUCAGAUUAGAGUUAUGUACAAGUUAGAAUGUUGGACCCUGUGAAUUAGCAUUGUUGUUUUGUUGAAGAUCUAGGGUUCUCACUUUUCUUGUUUCAUUUGAGUUGGAGUAAUAUUUAUGUAGUUUGUUGAUCA